rnacentral:rRNA from 1 species
UACGUAGGGCGCAAGCGUUAUCCGGAAUUAUUGGGCGUAAAGAGCUCGUAGGCGGUUUGUCGCGUCUGCCGUGAAAGUCCGGGGCUCAACUCCGGAUCUGCGGUGGGUACGGGCGGACUAGAGGUAUGCAGGGGAGAACGGAAUUCCUGGUGUAGCGGUGGAAUGCGCAGAUAUCAGGAAGAACACCGGUGGCGAAGGCGGCUCUCUGGGCCUUACCUGACGCUGAGGAGCGAAAGCGUGGGUAGCGAACAGG